ACUUCCAGCGACUUCUUUCUUCUUCGACGGAUGUCAAAAUUUUUUCAAAUUUCUCUCAAUUUUUCCCUCCGAUACCCACCAUACCGAAGGACGAUUUGUCUACCAAAUCCAUCCACAAAUCGCGCCGGCCAAGGGAUGGAGAUGAAAAUCUUUGCUCAGGCCUUUCAUAUCCAAUCGUAUGUAGAGCCAGAGAGCUGGAUUUUUGCCUUCCUUCGUAUUCGACCCAUUUCUCCAAGAAACGUUCUUUACGUUCAUAGACGCCAAGAACAUCUUUCAUGGUUUCUUGGUUUCUUUGCGCUCACAGCCUCACAGGGGCUCCAGCUUAAUCCUCCCUAAAUUUAUGAACAUAACGCUCUGAUUUCCACGGCAAUUUCUGUCAAACUGAACGUCCUCUCGAUCUCUCUCUCUGUAUUUCUCUUUCGCCUGGCGCCAUGGAUUCCUACAAGUACCGUCCCUCAAGUGCUUACAAUUCACCCUUCUGGACUAUCAACUCCGGUGCUCCGGUUUGGAAGAACAACGAUCCUUGACAGUUGGAUCCAGAGGUCCUGCACAGGAGCUUGUGGAGAAGCCUUUUUUUGAGACAGCAGCUAGAGCAUUAAGGCAUGGUGGUGUUCUUUGUAACAUGGCAGAAAGCAUGUGGCUCCAUAUACAUCUUAUUCAAGAUAUGAUCUCUGUUUGCUGUGAAACAUUCAAGGGUUCUGUACUUUCUUUUUAAAAUUUUUUUUAAUUUUUUUUAAUGGUAGAAUGUUUUUGUUUUGGAGUGAAACUAAUGCUUGGUAUUUGACGUAUGUGUUGACCUUCAUUAGUUCCUUAGAAUCAGCUUUGAUAUUUUAGAGACAUUGGACACAGUGGCAGAAAAUUUGUGGAACUUGAUAGUCAUAUAAAGAGAGGCUAGCCACGAUAGCAAUCAUAACACGACUUUAUUUGAGUUGUAUAUAAUUUGGAUUCUUCUCAUUAUCUGAUAUUAUGUUCCUUUAUUUGUU